ensembl:scaRNA
GGUCAGUGAUGAUUGGUAAAAGGUCUGAUUGCACUAAACGUCACAGCCCCUUCCCUGCCCUCGCCUCCCAGCAGCCCAUUGUUUUCUCCUGUCACAUUUAAGUCGUGUGUAUGGGGUAGUGGAGCAGCUGACAGUUUGGGAUUCUGUCUGUGUGUGUCUCUGAGAGUAGACGGCUCACACCUGACGGGCAUCCGACAGAGCCAGCUGUGCAGGAGGCUGGAGAGCUGCAGUUGUGGGUGUGGCCGUGCAUGAUCUCAAGUUUUCAAUCUGAGACC